rnacentral:rRNA from 1 species
AACAGCAGCCGCGGUAAUACGUAUGGGGCGAGCGUUGUCCGGAAUUAUUGGGCGUAAAGGGUACGUAGGCGGUUUUUUAAGUCAGGUGUGAAAGCGUGAGGCUUAACCUCAUUAAGCACUUGAAACUGGAAGACUUGAGUGAAGGAGAGGAGAGUGGAAUUCCUAGUGUAGCGGUGAAAUGCGUAGAUAUUAGGAGGAAUACCGGUGGCGAAGGCGACUUUCUGGACUUUUACUGACGCUCAGGUACGAAAGCGUGGGGAGCAAACAGGAUUAGAUACCCCAGUAGUCCCUGUCUCUUAUACA